AGAAGACAGAGGAGAGCAGGGGUGGGGAAUGGUAACCAUAACGAAGGAUGUAUGGAAAGCUUUAUGGAAACCCACUACUUUCAUUGAAGAAUCAGGAACCAGAGCAAGUGAGCCAAGAUGCUGCAGUGCCUGCUAGUUCUUCAUCACUCUGACUAGAGGACCAUAUGCUCUGCUUCAUCUCCAGCAUGCUUCCUUGGCACUCCAGCACAGUCCACGAAGCGGCUGGCUAGAGCUUUGUUGUCCCAAGAAGCAACACUAUCUUCAUUCAAUUCAGCGAUUACUUCCUCCCAUUUCACUGGACUCUCAAUGAAUCAGCAGUCUGAUAAAUAACUGAACUCUUCCUUGGGGAUCAAUAGCAUUGACUUGUCCUAGCUGCUGCCAAUAAAGCAGGCUUCACCAUUGAAAAAGGAAGUCAAGUCCAUACUGCAGCCCCUAGCAGCAAGGAAGAGACCAGAAGGACUUUAUUCCUUUUCAGCCUUCAAUUUUGAAGAAGGAAAUAUCUUCAGAAUAUUUCUUUUUACAGCUGCAUACUCCAGUGUUUAUAUAACAACAUUAGCAUUGCUAGAGCUGGAUCCUAAGAAAAACUGGGCUGUCAUGAUUCCUUGAUGAUGGGAAUUUUACUUGAGAGCAACUUUGCCUCACAAGGGGAAUUUUACAGCAUCUGGCAACGCUGUUGGUCAUUAAACUUGUGAGCAGCUAAAGCA